AGAGAAUAUAUUGUAGUUGUAUUUCUUGUAUCUCAUCAAUCGAUUACAUAGGUCUAUAUAUAAGGAAUUCCUAUGCUAUCUAGCUAUUUAGGAAUACAAAUCAUAAACUAAUUAGGAAUAUACUCAGGAACUAACUAGGAAUACAUGUACUAUAUUGAUUUUCCUUAAUAUGAUCCUUGCUGAAUCUCAAGUUUACAAGCUCAGAAGCCACUUCAACAACAUUUAUAAAGCAAGCAUACAUGAUGUAAACUCAGAAGCAAUGGAAAAUCGACAAUUACUUUGAUAUAAACAACAAAUGUUCGAAUUUCUUUACAAGAGUAACAACAUUCCCCAAGAUUAAGGAGGAUAGAAGCACAACCGCUCUAUGCAUAUACGAGGCAGUCUCCUCCGAGUCCUCGCUCUCAGCAUCAUCGGCCUCUCCAAUCACAACUGAUCUGUGAUUUCGUUCGACGCCAUGACCAGCUCUACCACCUACACAAGCAUCGCGACCUCAAUCUCCUUGCGCCAUGCUAGCUGUCUGCAUACAUUAAGCCCAUUAGAAUCGCAUAACAGGCAUACAUGACAUGCAUAUUGCAUCUUCUUUCUGUUUUGUUUUUUUACUUACAAAUAUAUGUUUGUCGAAGAGCCACGUCACAGCAAGCUUGAGCCUUGUAGCCGCACACAGGUGGCAUACCUCGUUGUGGUCCUGAAUGGAUACCUGCAGAACAAGGCAGGGGCAUUCGUUGGGAACGAAAAAUAAUAAAGAAAAGACUGAAAAUAAGGAAACCAAACUUACGUGAGUGCAACCAGGCAGAGACAUCCGGUAUGGACUCACUGUGUGCGUCUCUAGUAUGCCUUGCACGGUCAGUCCCGUGCGUGCAGAAAUAAAGGUAAAAGAAGCCCCUAGGGCAUGCUCUGGCUCACCGACAAUAGCAGAGUCUGGCGCCUCGGUGUCAGAUCCCCUCCUGACAGACUUGCCGCACUGCUGCUGCAAUAAUAAAGCACCAAUGGUAAGCAAUUAUAUGACACGCUGAGGCAAAGCAUAGAGAAGAAGAGAAAAUGAUACUUGUGCGGGAAGGGGCAGCCCCCCGAUCCUUUGCCGCUGCUUCUUCCUCUGGAGCUGACUCAUCAUCAGCAGAUGGAGGUACUCAUAUCAGCAGCUGAGUCCGAGCAAAGAUCGCAUAAGCACCGGGUACAAAGUUAGCCAAAUGAUCAGUAGCUGUUGUACCCACGCCGCGCCGUGGCAAUCAUCUCGCCCUUUAUCUCCCAAGUCGCCAUCAUGAAGUAUGAGACUCCAUCCGACACUCUCCUCUAUGCAGUGCCUAGCUCCUAUUCAUAUAUCCUCUCUUUGAGGUAGUACACAUCGUAGAAGAAAUUGGGUAGGAGCAGCCUCCUCUGCUGAUAGGGCAUGGAUGCCUAGAUAAAGUCUGGAAAAUCAGCAACUUGCCCCAUGGGUAUUUCUGGAUCUACAAAGAAAUACACAGUAAAUUGACAUGAACUAAGAAAAAUUAAGCAAGUUUCAGUAUUUCAGUGAAGAGACUCACAGUGGUCUAAUCUAAGUGAUUCAGCAUCUGGCAGAAUAUUGAAGGAUCAAAAGUAGUAUGAGCAUACUUCUUGCUAUCUUCAUUACUUAUUUACUUAAUUUACAUAACACUUGGGGGUACGAGACUUUCAUUGCAUCUAGGGGGUUACACAAUCAAUUCCUUUGAGAGCUCGUCAUACUUGAUAAGAGAGGCUUAAAUAUUGAUCUAGUUUGUAUAUCUUGUUGAGAGGCAUUAGAGACUACAAUUCAUAUUCUAAAGGGUUAUUAAUUAGCUCAAAGAGUGUGAAGACGUGUCUCUUGUGAUUAUUAUCUGCUCAAUCGCAAACUGAGGUUUUUGUUGAUUAGUUUGACAAGAUUACGUCUCGUUUUAAAACCCAACAGCUGGAGAUUUUUUCCAUGAUUGCUUAGGCUUUGUGGAAAGCAAGAAUCUCGUCAAGUUUUAGUAGCUCCAUUUAACAAAGGAACAAAUCUGUGCAUCUCGGUCUAAACUAUAUUUUUGAUUUUCAAUAGGCCAACCUAUCAGUUUUGAGAGAAGAUAAUGCAUCUAUUAAGGACAAUUAGAGCUGUAGGAUGGGUUUUGUUCUCAGAAAUGAUGCUUGUGAUGUUCUGGGAUUGGGAACUAAGGUUCUUCGUGUCUCUCUCUCACCGGAAAAUGCAGAAUUGAAGCAACAAUCUCUCUUCCCUACGCUGGAAACGGAUUCUCUAUCCAUGGUGCAGCAUGCAAUGCUUGAAAAAUACCAGAUACUGGAUUAUGGUAUAAGACUACAGAUGUUGGAUUCUUUUAACUAGAAUUUUUCAUGCUCUUAGAGUAAAAAACUAAGCUGCUCAUGAGCUUGCUAAAUUUUCUUUUUUGUUUUAGAGGAAAUAAUUUGGAUGGAGGAGGUUCCUCAUCCUAUUAUCAGUUAUGUAUUAGUUGAUUCUGCUUCUUUUUUUUUUUUUAAAACAAAAAAUACUAUAUUAUUUUAUAUAAAGACUUCAAUGUUGCAGGAA